AUACGUAGGGGGCGAGCGUUGUCCGGAAUGAUUGGGCGUAAAGGGCGCGUAGGCGGCCCGGUAAGUCUGGAGUGAAAGUCCUGUUUUUAAGAUGGGAAUUGCUUUGGAUACUGUCGGGCUUGAGUGCAGGAGAGGUAAGUGGAAUUCCCAGUGUAGCGGUGAAAUGCGUAGGGAUUAGGAGGAACACCAGUGGCGAAGGCGACUUACUGGACUGUAACUGACGCUGAGGCGCGAAAGUGUGGGGAGCAAACAGGAUUAGAUACCCUGGUAGUCCACACUGUAAACGAUGAAUGCUAGGUGUAGGGGGUAUCGACCCCUUCUGUGCCGCAGUCAACACAAUAAGCAUUCCGCCUGGGGAGUACGGCCGCAAGGUUGAAACUCAAAGGAAUUGACGGGG
rnacentral:rRNA from 1 species